rnacentral:rRNA from 1 species
GAGGAAAAGAAACCAACAGGGAUUGCCCUAGUAACGGCGAGUGAAGCGGCAACAGCUCAAAUUUGAAAUCUGGCUUCGGCCCGAGUUGUAAUUUGCAGAGGAAGCUUUAGGCGCGGCACCUCCUGAGUCCCCUGGAACGGGGCGCCACAGAGGGUGAGAGCCCCGUAUAGUUGGAUGCCUAGCCUGUGUAAAGCUCCUUCGACGAGUCGAGUAGUUUGGGAAUGCUGCUCAAAAUGGGAGGUAAAUUUCUUCUAAAGCUAAAUACCGGCCAGAGACCGAUAGCGCACAAGUAGAGUGAUCGAAAGAUGAAAAGCACUUUGAAAAGAGGGUUAAAUAGCACGUGAAAUUGUUGAAAGGGAAGCGCUUGUGACCAGACUUGCGCCGGGCUGAUCAUCCGGUGUUCUCACCGGUGCACUCUGCCCGGCUCAGGCCAGCAUCGGUUCUCGCGGGGGGAUAAAGGCCCUGGGAACGUAGCUCCUCCGGGAGUGUUAUAGCCCGGGACGUAAUGCCCUCGCGGGGACCGAGGUUCGCGCUCUGCAAGGAUGCUGGCGUAAUGGUCAUCAGCGACCCGUCUUGAAACACGGACCAAGGAGUCAAGGUUUUGCGCGAGUGUUUGGGUGUAAAACCCGCACGCGUAAUGAAAGUGAACGUAGGUGAGAGCUUCGGCGCAUCAUCGACCGAUCCUGAUGUUCUCGGAUGGAUUUGAGUAGGAGCGUUAAGCCUUGGACCCGAAAGAUGGUGAACUAUGCUUGGAUAGGGUGAAGCCAGAGGAAACUCUGGUGGAGGCUCGCAGCGGUUCUGACGUGCAAAUCGAUCGUCAAAUCUGAGCAUGGGGGCGAAAGACUAAUCGAACCAUCUAGUAGCUGGU